AUGAGAUAUUUGCUCCAAGUUGCACAGCUGGUUUGGUCUCUUGACUGUAGAUUCCAGAGGCAUUGGUGGAACACUUGAUCAUGCUGGCUUCAGCAUCUGCAUUUUCACUGUCCCACCCCUAAGCUUCUUUGGCCUCUGUGAAGCACAGACUUUCUGGGUCUGAGUGGAUCUAAGUCUCCUGCUCUUCUCCCACAGAUACUAUGGCGGGACUGAGUUUAUUGAUGAACUGGAGACCCUCUGUCAGAAGCGAGCCCUGCAGGCCUAUAAGCUGGACCCACAGUGCUGGGGGGUCAACGUCCAGCCCUACUCAGGUGCUUGUCUCAUCCAUAUGGCCUGGUGCAGCCUCUUCAUGUGCAUCCCCCAGGGCCGACAUGCACCAAGAAGAGUCCUAA
rnacentral:lncRNA from 1 species